rnacentral:tmRNA from 1 species
GGGGACGAGUGGGAUCGACAGGAGCUGAACGGACCAGGAUUGCGGGCCGAGGUGCCAUCAACCUCGCUAAACAGGUGGCAACUAAAUAAUUGGCGAACGAGAAGUCGCCCUCGCCGCUUAAUCAGCGGUGACGUUCACGAUGACCUUCUCCCGACGGGUCAUCGUGGGCGCCGUUAAGUCGGGAUGCUCCGUGCACGCGCGCCUCAGGCGUGCCCGGCUAAGACUUCUGAGGCUGGUCGGCCGACCCCUUGUCGGUGGAGGACGGUCGACGAGAAAACUCCGCCGGCUACGCCCGUAGUAGAUUCUGGCUGGAGGCUCUCUGGACGGGGAGUUCGACUCUCCCCCGUCUCCACCA